rnacentral:rRNA from 1 species
UACGUAGGUGGCAAGCGUUGUCCGGAUUUACUGGGCGUAAAGCGUGCGCAGGCGGUUGUGUAAGACAGGUGUGAAAUCCCCGGGCUUAACCUGGGAACUGCAUUUGUGACUGCAUAGCUAGAGUACGGUAGAGGGGGAUGGAAUUCCGCGUGUAGCAGUGAAAUGCGUAGAUAUGCGGAGGAACACCGAUGGCGAAGGCAAUCCCCUGGACCUGUACUGACGCUCAUGCACGAAAGCGUGGGGAGCAAACAGG